rnacentral:rRNA from 1 species
AUUGAACGCUGGCGGCAUGCUUUACACAUGCAAGUCGAACGGUAACAGGCCGCAAGGUGCUGACGAGUGGCGAACGGGUGAGUAAUGCAUCGGAACGUGCCCAGUCGUGGGGGAUAACGCAGCGAAAGUUGCGCUAAUACCGCCUACGAUCUAUGGAUGAAAGCGGGGGACCGUAAGGCCUCGCGCGAUUGGAGCGGCCGUUGUCAGAUUAGGUAGUUGGUGGGGUAAAGGCUCACCAAGCCGACGAUCUGUAGCUGGUCUGAGAGGACGACCAGCCACACUGGGACUGAGACACGGCCCAGACUCCUACGGGAGGCAGCAGUGGGGAAUUUUGGACAAUGGGCGCAAGCCUGAUCCAGCAAUGCCGCGUGCAGGAAGAAGGCCUUCGGGUUGUAAACUGCUUUUGUACGGAACGAAACGGUCCUGGUUAAUACCCGGGGCUAAUGACGGUACCGUAAGAAUAAGCACCGGCUAACUACGUGCCAGCAGCCGCAGUAA